AUGGGUGAGUUUUGGGGCCAACGCUUGAGAUUCAAGGCCCCGGGGGAGUCCCUGCGGCUCCUCUGCCGCACCUCCGGCUUCACCUUCGGCAGCUACGCCAUGGAGUGGGUGCGCCAGAGCCCCGGGAAGGGGCUGGAAUACGUUGCUGGGAUCAACGCUGGUGGUGGUUACACCGAGUACGCGCCGUCGGUGCAGGGCCGGUUCACCAUCGCCAGGGACAACGGGCAGAGCUCGGUGACGCUGCAGAUGAACAACCUCAGGGAGGAGGAUUCCGCCACCUAUUUCUGCGCCAAACGUUACAAUGCUGGUUCCUGGAGUGAUGUUGCUGGUAUCGACGCCCUUGACGGGGUCCCCACAUGUCCCCAAACCCCAGACCCUGACCCCAAAUCUCCACCCUUCCCACCCAGCUCUCGGUCGUUGGUCCCGACCUUGGGCUGGUUUUGCCCCAAUUCUCAACCUUUGGCCCCAAAAUUCAACUGCUGA